CAAUUUACCGCUGACAUGCAUUGAAAUCCGAGGAUACUUAAUCGACGUAUAAUGGCAAAGGAUUCCUCGUUUUUGUUGUUAUGUGUUUUCGUCACAGUCUCAACGAGUGAUGUCCGUAUCAACGUAUUUACCAAAAUGGAGGAUAAUGCCGGAUUUGAGUUCACUGGUGAACGGAUAACUACAGAAGUAAGAUCAGUAACGCACUGCGCUCUUCUCUGUGUCCAGUAACCCUUCUUGUGUGGCAACUGACUGGGAUCAAAGUAGUCAGACAUGCGCGAAGUUCACACGGACACUCACUCCGGAGGUCUCUCCUUCAAACCUCUACACAACCGGAAUUGCGUCGUAUAUAUCACAAAGCUACGCUCGCACGUACACGUACGUUGCUGAAAUGCUGGUGAAGUUCAUCAGUACCACAACACUAAACUGGCAUGAUGCUCAAGGCUAUUGUGUCAAUGAGAGUGGUAGACUAAUUGUCUUAGAUACAAUGGAGAAGUAUCACGCCAUCAGGUCGGAUCCUCUACUAAACGAAAGACGCGAUUGGUGGGUAGGAGCUGAUAGCCAAUCCACAGGCCAAUGGACGUGGACGACUGGGCAAACGGUGGAUUCGGGCAUGGAUGUAACUGAAGAUAGUCCUGGUUGUGACUUUCUCGCUUUCUAUGAUGGAGGUUUAACUGACAGUUGUAGCGAAUGGCAAACAGGUUUUAUUUGUGAAAAGUGAAACAUUUUACCAAACAAUUAAAACAUUACACAUCAAACAGGAAAGUGUUUGAUCAAAGAUUCCAAGAAUAUACCAGGGAAUGCCAACAUAGUCUCAACAAACAGACAAUAUAUAGUUUUUAUGCAAAUCAAUUCAUCAAAAAUAGUCCAAAGUGAGCAAAACCGGCGGGGAAAUAAGAUAAGUUUUUUUUUAUCCUUAGGUCUCAUGAUUAAAGAUUAAAAAAAAAAAAAAAAAAAAAAGUACGUUUUAAUGAACCUUUAUGUGUGUCUGUGAUUAUCCAUGAGGUACGAAGUGCCAAUUUAAUGAGUGAUUUAUGAUUGAAAUAUUUAUUAAAACAAAUAACAAUCUUUAAUUAUUUCAAAUAAUUGAUACUAUUUAAAAAAAAAAAAAAAAGAUAAAGAAAGAAUAUGUUAUAUUUUCGUUUUAUAUCGAUUCAGCUCGGUCGAAUACAGAUGGAAUCACCUGAGGAUAAACCUGUAUUCCUAAUAUUUUAGAUUCUAAGAUAAGGUCACCUAAAGUAUUAACAAAUCGUGUCUUUAAUAAAAUAUAACCUUUUCCAGAAAGCAAGAACUUUAGCAGUGAGUAUAAGUUGAGAUUGGGAUUAAUUCUGUCAAAAUGGAGAUUUUCCUAGUAUAAUGUUAAGUUUGAUUGCAUUUCAUAAAUAAAUGUUUUGAAGUUUUAGUGCCAAGGCUUGCAGAAAGCUUCCAUGACUAUUUUCGUAAAACAUCAAAAAAAAAAA